AGAGGCUUACUUUCAGAUCGCAUGAACGCAUUCCUGGACACCAGCCACAGUUGCUAAAACUAAAUGGGAUCCUGCAGACCCAUUGACGGACUGUCAUAGCCAACUCAAUCACAGUCGAGAAGCAUUUGAAUACUUACAGCCUAUGGCGCUAGGAUCCUGGUAGCGAAGAAACUAAACUCUAAUUUGAAAUGUUGUACAGCUAGCUUAGAGUGGCUGCUGAACUUAAGGGUGAUUAAGAGCUGCUUGCACCUGGGUGGAGCUGAAACUGCAUAAGGUGAAUAAUACCUUUGUGCAACAGAAGAAAAAAAAAAAAGUAACAGCAUACAUACAAACCCAAAGGAAUUAGAGGAGACAGCACUGAUUGCAGUGACAGAAGCGGUGCCAGCUAACUCCCCACCAUCAAAAGUAUCUUCUGCUGUAGCCUGGCACAAGUUUCAAGCAUCCACUGGGGGUCUUGGGAUGUGUCGCCCUGCAGAUAAGGGCAACUGCUGUGCAGCAUGAACAGUAUGGAGACAAUACUUAUCUUCAUGGAGUUUAUAUUAGAGUAAGACAAGAGGUAGGAGACUGCCUAUUUUAUUGUUCUCUUGAAAAGACUGGGUAUUUUACUUUUAUGAAAGGCUUUAUAGCCUGCAGGGGCAUUCUAAUAUGGAUUUUGGGGGUGAAGAGACAAAUAGGUGUGGAAAGUAAGUUCAGGGGUUCAGAGACCCAUAGGUUUUUUAAAAGAGAAGUCAGGGGAAGGUCUCUUAAGGUAGUAGUGGAGUCCAAAUUAUUCUAUGUCCCUUGUAGCUCCUACCCUUUGUAUGCAGUAGUUUUUUUUUUAAAUCGAAGACGGGGGAAGGUCUCUUAAGGUAAUAGUAGAGACCAAAUUAUUCUAUC
rnacentral:lncRNA from 1 species